rnacentral:tRNA from 2 species
GCCGUCAUAGCUCAGUAGGUAGAGCAGCUAACUCGUAAUUAGCAGGUCACAAGUUCAAUUCUUGUUGUCGGCACCA